GUGUUUUUGGUUUUAUUUCUUGUGUAUUUUGACCUUGGCUUUGUUAUGGACUAUUCAGAUCUCUGUAUCCCUUGAACUUUGGCUCCUGACUGUUCUGACUUCUGUAUUCCUUGACCAUUGGCUUACCUACCAUUUACAUAUACUCUGUAUUCCUGACCUCAGCCUGUCUUGUCUCUAAGGCCCAAUAAUGUGCCUAAGGGUUUUCUUUAUUUUUAUUUAAGUUCUGCGUGUUUGGCAUGUAAUGGACCGUUUUGCACAAAAGGGGUAAAACCGUUUAGGCGAUCGUCCCCCUUUCCAG